rnacentral:rRNA from 1 species
UGACCUCAAAUCAGUAGGACUACCCGCUGAACUUAAGCAUAUCAAUAAGCGGAGGAAAAGAAACUAACAAGGAUUCCCCUAGUAACUGCGAGUGAAGCGGGAAAAGCUCAAAUUUAAAAUCUGGCGGGCCCCUCCGUCCGAGUUGUAAUCUGGAGAAGCGUCUAUCCGCGUUGGACCGUGUACAAGUCUUCUGGAAGGGAGCGUCAUAGAGGGUGAGAACC